UCACGUCCAGCAUAGGUUUUCACGCAAUGCGCAGCAGUAAUGAUAUGUCGGGGAGAGAUCAAUGUUCCACCGCAUACGUAAACGCUCUCGGUAGAAUCCUUUUUCAAUAUAGCCACUUGCCAAGGAUAUUCACCUAAAUAUAUACUCACCGAAUUCAGAAUCUCCGUCGAUGUAAGCUGGCGUUUUGAUCCUAGCGUUAACGCCUUUCGUGUAUCUGGUACCGCAUUGGCCAGGUCGUGGUCGCGAACCAAUUAUGUGGCUACUUCGGCAACAUACAUGACGUGGACCGCAUACUGGUGGACGACCAAAUUGUCUCUAUUGGAAAGAAAAAACAAAACAAAAAAAAAAUAAUAUGUAUGAAGGUAGAAGAGCGGAACCGAGAGAUCAUUAAAGUUCGUCGGUGUAUAUCCGUGCAGUUCAGGUCUCCUCAGGAAACAUUAUACACGUGCGUAUCUACUACCUAGAAAAAAAAACAAUUCAUGGAUGUUACAGACGAACGGCGUACGCUUUCUUUUCAGUGAUCCUCUUCGUUAACCUUGACAUCAUCCUGCCUGAAAUUCGACCGGACAGUAAAUAGUCGCCUUGAUAAUUUCAAAUGAUUUCUAAGAAAAAGUUAAAAAAUAUCGAAAUAAAUUUUUCAAUAAGAUUGAAAAAAUGUUUAAACAUUUUUCACGCAUAAUAGCAAGUUGACUUAAACCGAAGCAGAAUCGGAGUUCCUGCGGUUAGUGUUUGUAUUUCAGGUUCCGGGAGAAAGUAUUCCUGAGGAUGUCUCAGAGCUAACCGAGUGUAAUAAUAAUAUUCGAAUAGAGAUCGCUUUUACGAAUACAUUAUGGAUAUAUUUGACAUUAUGAACGAUUCAUAAACAUUACUCCUUUGUCGUUUGAUAAGUAAAAUAUAAAUCCAGAUUAUUAUCGAGUAUUUUCACGUAACGUUUAUCAGAACAAAAAAUUUGACUUCGUUCAUUCAUUUUUCUCUCGAAAGAAAGAAAAAGAGAAAUAAAUAAAGAAUGAAGAAAAAAGGAUCGCGGAGCCGGUUUUGUUAUCGGUUGGCCGGUCGAUUUAGUUCGAUGCACUCGUUCGUUCUAUCUUGCACAACAGGGAUUUUCCCGUCGUGUGCUUUAUUCCGAUACAUGUUGUAACUAUCUCUGAGAAUUUUUGUAUGACGUAUUCCUCUUUAGCAUGUUAAAAAAAAAAAUGAAGGUAAGAUUGUCUUGACCUAUUUACGACAAACGACGAAGGCGUUUGUUCGUGUUCGUCAAACUUGAGUAAUAACGGAAUAGAAAAAAAAAAAAAAAGAAAAAAUAAUACUAAUAAAUAAAUUCCUUUUUCUCUUUUCUAAUUUUCUACGAUUCUUAUUUAUGGGACUUAUGAUCGACGGACAAUUUCUGUCGAAAACAUUGUUAGACUGGCGUUUAUGUCAAAUAUUAUGUAACGACGAGUCCGUUCAAGGUACAAUGACGUCGACGAACGUGUUAAGAGUUCCGAUGUUCUCGAGAAAGUUUCCGAUCUUUUCACUUUCCUUUUCAUCGCAUCCUGUGA